UAUACAGCUUGCAUGUAAAUAUAACCAUUGUUGUAUCACAAAAGUCACAGUGAAACUUUGCAGAACAUGGAAUAUGCAAAUAAUAGAAAGCAGAGUGGCUCUCCAAAGUUCUCCAGCAAUCGUAAGCUACUCUAAAAAAAAUGUGUUGACUAGAAGUCAUUUCUGAUUUUCUUACAAUAAAACAGUCCUCAAAGUGAAAAGAAAGUGGAAA